rnacentral:lncRNA from 1 species
AAUAUCACAAAGGAACAGGUGAGCGUAGCUCAACCCACAGGGCGACACACCUAUGUUGGAAGACACCUCCUCAAACUUUUGGGAUGGGGGCAAUGAAAUGCAGUGACGGUCAAAGCCUCUCUGCUCCCGGAUGGAGAAUGCGAAUCAUUCAGAGUGGCCUCCCACAUCAGGACCUCAUUAGAUACACCUUGAUCCUUUUUUUUUUUUUUAAGGUGAUAUCACAUUUCUCCUAAGUGGUUCUCAGACUUGCAAAGGAACAGAUCACCAGAGUCCUUCCAGACAGAGGGGCUGUCACUCUCUCAUCUUGGCAGGAACGCCUCAGAAAAGUUAAGAAAUAUCCCCAAAGGGAAUGAUAGAUGCGUGUCUAGCUGUUUUCACAAAUGACAUGGAUCAGUGACUUCUAUACAUCUCCUGUUGCUCGCUCUUGAAAAUAGGCAGGUUAGCCGAGCACAGUGGCACUCACCUGUAGUCCCAGCGGCUCGGAGGCUGAGUCAGGAGGAUUGCGAGUUCAAUGUCACCCUCAGCAAUAAUGAGGUGCAAAGCAACUUAGUGAGACCCUGUCU